CGAGAGCGGGAGGCGGGGCGAAGGGGGCGUGGCCUGCUCCCACCGGCUUUAGUCUCGGCUCCUCCGCCCAGCCGGUGCGCCCCGCCCCUUCCCGCCCCGCCUGGAACCUUGCAACACGGUGGCGCGGCCGUCCACGUGAGCGGGCGGCCCGGCUGUAACGCCCGGCGGGGGGGGAGUCGGAUUUGUGGGGUUCAUUGAUCCUCGCCUCCCCUCCCCCCUUCUUAAGGGGGUUCUGGAUCGCCAGCCCCCGGGAAGGCCGGGGGGGGGGAGCAGGCUGGUAUUUGGGUAUAACGCCCAAAGGGGGAUUUCUGAAGGGGGGGUAGCGGGGGGGGGAUUUUUUUGCCCUGGCUUUCUCGGGGGACCAGCGGAGGCUGAUGUGAUGUUCUGCCAGCCACCUCCACUAGAUGCCUUCUGCCUGCUUUUGGGGCUGCUGAUUGUGGGACCAGCCAGUUAAUGGGGAAGCCGAAUCGGGUCCUGUGGAAGGGAGCCCGGGGGAGGAUUAAUAAGCAGAAAUGAAAGUCCGUCAGCUAAGCCUUUAAGCGCCGGAGCUACUCCUGAAUCUCUGUGGAGACUCUGGAUUGAGAGGGCUUCGUUCCGACCUAUCUUCAGCCACUUUGCGCCAGUCGCUUCCAUGUAUGGAGAACCCCUUAUUCAAGACGCAAAAAACUGAAGGCAACGUGGUUAAGUGGUUUGACAUGUGACGUAAGCUGUUGAUCAGAACAAUUUCCCUUUGGAGAAUCGUAGGACGGGAAGGGACCUCGAGAGGUCAUCUAGUCCAGUCCCCUGUGCUCAUGGCAGGGCUAAGUAUUAUUUAGACCAGUGGUUUUCAAACCGUGGGUCGUGACCCAUUUACUGCAAGGCCAAUGGGAGCUGGCGGGGGGGGGUGCCCCUGAGCCCUCCCCAAACCCCUCAUCUCUGGCCCCACCCCAGAGCAAUGGAUAAAUCGAUUGCUACCCGCCGAUACGGCGGGUAGUGAAGACGUACCCUGAGACAGAAAGAUGCGAAAUAAGACUAGGGAAGGGGAAUGGGGGGGCACAGCCCCUGGCAUGUGGGGGAAUG